ensembl:snoRNA
CCCUUCUUUUAAAGCACCCUGCUAAAAUUGUGGGGGUGAAGCCUCCGGGCUUGGCUCUCGCAGCCAUGUAAGCAUGGGUACACCAAGGAAGGAUAGAAAAGGCCCAGGGUCGCAUGUGAGGCUAGGACGGACCUCUUUCUUAAUGUCCAGUGUCCUUUGUCUCAAGGCUCUGUGCUACAUUA